GACGUAGGGCGCGAGCGUUGUCCGGAUUUAUUGGGCGUAAAGAGCUCGUAGGCGGCUCGUUGCGUCGGCUGUGAAAACCCGCAGCUCAACUGUGGGCUUGCAGCCGAUACGGGCGGGCUAGGAUUCGGUAGGGGAGACUGGAAUUCCUGGUGUAGCGGUGAAAUGCGUAGAUAUCGUAAGGAAGGCCGGUGGCGAAAGCGAGCCUCUGGACAGUUACUGACGCUGAUGCACGAAGGCCAGGGGAGCAAACGGG
rnacentral:rRNA from 1 species